rnacentral:lncRNA from 10 species
AUUAUUGUAUUUUACAGAUCAUUCAUUCAGGACAUGCUGCAUCUGGGGUUGGCAUCAUUUCCCUUUUGAAUGACAGAAUGUGCAUAAAAGUCUCUUGCCCACGCUGAACUCACACGUGCCCGGCAGGAAGGAGCUCUCACGAAGUGCCAGCUGGAUGUGAGCUUGCUCUGGCAGCAGCAGUGCUGUCCUUGUUUCUGAGCUGCCACCUAUUCACUGGAGUUAGGAACCUUGUGGGAAAAUGGUGCCUAUUUUUGACAACUGGAUGUCUUCGUGGCCGAGGUCCCUAUGACCUUCCUCUCAAAAGAAUACGUGUAGUUUUAGUUCUCAGACAUCUGGGUCUUGCUCUGUUGCCCAGGCUAGAGUGCAGUAAUGUGAUCAUGGCUCACUGAAGCCUCAGCCUCCGCCUCCUGGGCUCAAGUGAGCCUCCUACCUCAGCCUCCCGAGUAACUGGGACCACAGGAUGUUCUUUUAAACUUCCUAAAGAAGCCCAUGAUAACUGGGAACACGGGCCCUUCACUGAGGCAGGAGAAUCACAUGAGCCACACAUGAUAUCCACUGGAGGAGACAGAAAGUCUGGGAGUGUC